rnacentral:lncRNA from 1 species
AGGGCAUUCCAGAUCUUAGAAAUGGUGUGAACGAUCUUGACUUGGCAAAGGUUGUGACAUAUAUGAAAGAGAACAGAUGGGCUAUUUUGGCCUGAGCCAACAUGGGGCCAACUGGGAAAGAUUUAAGAAAAGGACUGCAGUGUAGGAACUGCAAUCCUAAUUUCUUUCUUUUACUCUAACAUUGAGUGUUUAAGUACUUUUUGUUUUUAGUCCUCUAAACAUGUCUUGGGAACAUGUUUGUAAUGCUUUAUAACAGUUUUCAAGGCUUAGAGAGUGUUAAGAAUACACCUGCAGAUUUAUAAGGAGCAGUUAAGGGUGUCUCGAAAAAACAUUGUUUACUCAAUGUUUAAUUUAAUAAAAAAAGUCCAUUUAAGUAAUCAACUUAAUUCUCAAACAUUUUAUUUUUGACACUCUCAAAUCAAAUAAGUAAUGAUUAUUAUCUUUAGGUUAGAAGUGGAGACUCAUUAGAUUUAAAAUAUUUUUCAAAGCCUUAGCAAUAUUGUUUGUAACAAAUAAAAUGGAAUCCACUAGCAUGUCCUUUGAUUGUGAGUUUUCAAUCCCCACCGGAACUUUUGGAGAACAAAUAAAAUCUAUGCUAAGGUAAAUGUAGUUAUUUACUUUAUAAUGGGACAUACGCCUUUGCCCAUUUGGAAGCUAAAGGCAACUUACAUGUCUUGGAUUGGGUGAAGGCAAUGAUGUCGUUUUGUCCUUGGGACUCUAUUUAGAAGAGAAGUUAAAACAAAAGUUAAAAAUUGAGAGGACAGACUUAACACAAUUGGAUUUUUGUUUUAGGAGGAGAUUUUCUAAAGUGUAAUAUUUUCCCUAGAAAUGCCUUAGGCCCAGCUUGUGCUUGCCUUAAUUUUGUCCAUAUUCCUUGAAAGAUACUUUGGGUAUUAGUAUGAGUUGACUUGACUUGAAUUUAGCUUUGUUGGAUCUGGCUGCUAUUGAGUUGUCUGGCUUCCCAAAGACAUGGAGAUAGAGUGGUCCUUUUCAAUAACCAAUCCUUGGAACUAUUUCCUACUCUCUAUAACUCUCAGAAGUCUCUUGGAUAGUCAAAAGACCGGAAAAUGGCUGGGUAUUAAGGCAGGACAUUACAGACUCAAUAAAUCAAACUUGUCAGAUUUCUCUUCCCUUCACCCUGAAACAGUACCAGGAGUUAUGCAUAAAUAUAAACUCUAAGCUCUAUCUACUCUUAAAUUCUUGGCAUUGUUUAGGUUAAUAACUUGUCUUUUAUGUGGUGUAUUUACCUAUGGAUGAGGAUGGUGAAAUCACUUUCAUUGAGAACAUUAAAGAGUAAAGUCUGGAAAAAAAAGAGUAAAGUCUGAAUACUAUUAGGGUGGGUGAUUAUUAUUAUCAGUCAAUGGAGAGAAUCAACAGUUGCAUUAGACGAUGAAUGGGUAAAACAACAUAGAGUCAGUGUUCUAUGAAUUAUUAAAGAGAAUCUAGGAUAUUAAAUCUACAGUAAACCAAACUGAAAAUUCACUAAAAUUGCUGGCUUUUCUUUUAAUUUUAUACUUAUUUAAUUUUUAGAAUAAUUAUUGGUGCAUAUAUUUAACCUAAAAUUGAUAAACAAAUGCAAAGUGAGGUCAAAUUUCCACCUCCACUCCCCACCCCCAAAUAAGGAACUUAAAAAGUAUUUAACAACACAUUUUACUGGGUUGGCUUAUUAAAGCUCACUUGACCUAAAUGGUAAUAAAAUUUACCAUAUAGAGAUGUUAGCAGAUAUUUUUCUGUGGGCAAAUCCUGAAUAGAAGAGAAAUGUAAUUUCAACUUUGAACAGACAACCAACAAAUUUAAGAACAGGAGUUUCUUUUUAGCUUGUCAUAUUAAUAACAGCAUGUCCUUUGGUUUCAGGUAGCAGAAUAAGGAAGUGACUGACAGCGCCUGACUUCCUACUAUGAAAAAGAAUUCUUCCUACCUGGAUGGCCUGCAUCACAAACUUGCUUUCCCAGCACUGACUGUUAUGUGAGUAUGUGUUGGAUAAUUUAUUUCAUAUUAUUUGAGGCCUUGUGAGUAUUAUUAGAAUGAGAGGAAACCAUGAAAAUUAUGGGUUCUUGGUUCACUGCUUUAACAAAUAUUUACCGAGAGCCAACAAAAACAGUAUUUACUGCAUAAGCAGAAGACGAAAAGACACAGUCCUUGCCUCUUCAGGAUUCAUUGUUUACGGUUUGUAUUGUUUAUAUUAAAGAGCCUUGUGAGUAAAUGUAAAAUCAUCGCUGUGAUAGAUGCUUUGAAGGAAAGGGCUUAAUAGUGUAACUGUGAAUACUAGGGGGAAAUGGUUCAAGUUGGGGAGGUCAAGGAGGGUCUUUUGGAGGAUGUCAAGGCUGAACCAAGGUCAUGUACAGUUGUAAACCAGAUGACAGGAGACCAGCAGUGGGCGUAUGAAGCAACACGGUUCAGUUCAGUUCACUGAAUGUUUACAGAAUGCCUAUCCUAUGCUAGACCCUAUGCUUCCAUGCUGGGAAAUAACAACUGGAUGAGAUAUGGUCUUGGCCCUGGUAAAUAACUCACUGUCAGAGUCUCAUUGUCACGCAGUGGAUGAUUAGGAGACCUACCACCGUAUGUGUUUGUUUUGCUUCUGUGUAGUUUGAGUUUCCUUUGUGUCAGGAUUCUCUGAGCUAGGCAAGUCCUUGUCAAGAAGUCAGACACCAUCUUUUGGUCAUGGAAUCAAAGUUUAACAAACAAGUAUCAUCAUCUUCUAGAUUAGAGUCCAACAACACUACUCCGGGCUUUGCCAUCCAUUGAUCGUGGCCCCACGGUGGAGCUCAUGCCACAGUGGAGCUCAUGCCUGUUUCAGAGCUUGCCAAGAGUUUUAAAGUCCUCCAGGAAGGAAGCCUGAUCGCCACCAAACAAGGGACCCAUUCUUUCUUUAUCUCUCUUUUUUUAACCAUUAACUAAAACUGCUAAAUUAUUAACCCAGCCAUAGAAAUGGAUAAUAAACACAUUGUAUGUGCACUGGAUUAAUUUGUUUUCGUGUGAAGUAUCAGUCGGGCCUGGAGGACAAACUCCUAGGGACACACAAGUAACAAACAGCUGAAGUGUCAAGGAUGUAAACAAAAGGGGAAAGGCAGGAACUGUAGAAAAAUGGAGAUUGCUAAAAACCACAGAAGCAGAACAAAACAGCACACACCAGUGCUGGAUUUUUGCCCCAGACUCUAGGGCAUGUCCUCAUUCACUGUACCCACCAAGAGCACGUCCUAGGCCUGCCGUCCUUACUUUCUACAAAGGUCUAGGCCCUUUCAUCACCUUUGGGACUGUGGUUCUGGUGUAGCUCCCUAGUCUAGAAUUUACUGACUCUUGCUAUACUUGCCUUCAUACCCUAUCUUGGAGAGGUGGCCCUGGGGCGAGUUCUGAGAAGUGCAGCCUCUGCUCUUCUGUUUGACCUAGUCUAGGUCACCGCACCACUAAGCUGUAGACAUUCAGGUUGCCACCUUGAUCACCAAGCUGCUUGUCCUUUUUCUAGGACCGACCAACCUCCCCAAAGGGAUGGAUAAGGAAGCUAGUAACACCUUGACCCGUGUCUCAGUACUGCUUUCUCCUUUCAUUGUUUUCUUACUUUUUAACCUUCUUGGCAAAGAGUGACAAACUUCCUUUAUAGUUAAUGACAAUAUAUUAUAUUAUUAAGGCUGUGUCUUCCCGAAUGCAACUCCUAAACACUUGAACACUUACUUGUUUUCUUUUCCUGUUUCAUUAUUACUAUUUUUUUUUUUUUUUAUCUUUGAGGAUUUGUUUGUUAGGGAGCAAGUAAUUUUUCCAGGUUGUAGAAGGGGACCCUUAAAUAUUGCACUGCUAAGUGACUUGUCCAGCUUUACCACAUGCUCUCGAUUAUGGAGCAUUCAAGCAGAAAAGAGGAACAGCUCCCAAAUUUUCCUUCUUAACUGAAUAUGAACAACCAACAUUGUAAAGACAAUAAGUAUGUUAACUAAAUGGUUGAAUAUUAGUGGUUUGGGUUUUCCAACUAAGAAGUUUUAGUUUUAAAGUCCUUAAGAAAUUAAGUUAGAGACAACAGAAUUAAAUGACCUUUUGGAAAAUGCAAAAUAUACCUCUGUAUUCAUAUCUAUAAAACUUUGGAGACUUUGCAUUUGAAAAUUCAGCAUGUUUUCUGUCUAACAAUUUUACACUCUUCUUGUGAAGAGUUAUUAUCAACUCUGUUGAUGAGAGCUGUGAUUUUCACCUAAAAUUCCAAAAUGAAUGUGGUGAAUGACAUUAUCAGACUAUCAGUCUGUCUAGCGAGUUGUUGGUGCUCUCUCAUUUCCAGGCUAUUCUGUAAAAAGGAAUUUACAUGAGUGCCAUCUUACUCCCUUGAAUAACUCUUUCUGCUUAAGAUUUUUCUGGAAAUGUUAUUAACAAUAUACUCCAGUAAUGAUUUAGUCCAGGAUAUUCUUGUGUUAUUUUGCAGCUCGUUGCUAGUGACUCAUAGCACAUUGGGCGUCCAAGCUAUGGUUAACUGGUGGUCAAGUUAUGAAAUUCUGUUCCCAUUAACUCUUCCUUUCUUAGCCCAGAACACAUCUCCACUCAUCUUUUUUUUUUCUUUUGAUUCGUCAUGCUUAUAGUCUCUGCUUGGUGUUUUCAAACCAAAAGUAUACUCAAUGACAUGCCAUAAUAAGUAUUGUUCCUACUGCAUGUCCAGAAUAGCUAAAAACAGGAAAUACAGACCAUUUCGUGGAAAAGCCUACUUUUGUGAUAUUUCCAACCUAAAAGGUUUGGAUCAACUUUGGUUGAGCGUCUGAACUUUUGGCUUCUUACAGUAAACCUUCUAACUUCAGAAUUUUAGCACCAUUUCUACUUAUAAGAUGAUGUCUUCCAUAUUUAGAAUAUGCUGACACAUGAAUCAGUUAGCUUUUAAGCUGUUUUUAUUGAAUACUAGGAUCUACUUGUAGCCAAAAAUUGUACAUAAGAAAAUUGAAUCAUACGAUUUAAAGCUUAAUAGUAGAAAGAGUCACACUAUCCAUAGUUUCAACACUUUCUUUACUUAUUGGGUGGUUUAUUUAAAAAUGGGUCUAUUGUUAUAAGGCUUUAAUAAUAAGUGAAUAAUUGAUGCAGAAAUGUAUUAUGUAAAAUAAAUCCAGAAGCCAAAAAUUUAGGUUAGUUGAAGUAGUCUGAUAACUCUUUCAGUAGGGAACACCAGGCCCUACCAGAAAAUAAAUCUAAACUGCUUUGCACUCAAAUAACCAACUAAUUAAUGUUUAGUAACUCCAGAGGGAGUUUAAAGUUCAUGUGCACCACAUCCCUUUUAAGAUCCAGUGCUGUAAAAAUCUAAUUGGAUAGAUUAGCAAAAGAAGCCACGUAAGAUUACAUUUAUGUGAUUCCAGGGUGGCCUUAGGCAGUUCAUUAUGUUAUUUUCCAGUGUCAGUGAGGGCCCUGAUUUUUCUUGGAUUCUUCCAUAUUUUGUGACUGUGUAGAGUGGCAUAAUGAAAUGAAUGGAUUGCAUUGUUCUAUUUGUUCUCUUCUGACUUAGCCAUCUACAUUGUUCCUACAGAAUGCUCAAGAUGGUUUUCAAGGGUGAUAAAUGAUGACAUGAACUAUAACUCCAGGUUGAGUUGUUAAAUAAAUGUGUUUCCUUUGCUUUUGUAAGAUGUCAUUUGCUACAUUUCUUUUUUUCACCUUUGAUUUAGUUUUAAAGGCAGGUCAUCUCAAGGAAGGAAGGUUAAAAAAAAUAAUAAGGAACAUGGAGAGUAGAGAUAAGAGAAGCAUUUUCAGAGGAAUCAGUUCUUCAAUCUUAACAUUUAUUGAGAAAACAUUUUAAUUCAAUAUUUGUGGAAGUCCUGAAAUGACCAAAUAGUUUCUUUUACUCUAAGUCUUCUUGCUUCCAUUUAGCUGGAAUGUACUGGACAGGAUUAGAAAUGACUGUUCUUUUGGUUUUUUUUAUGGUUUAGACUAAAAGCAAAGUGCCAAAGUUCUUUAAAGUAAUCUCUCUUUAUGAGAUCUCAAGCCUUUGUGUAGACUCAGAAAGUGAGACAAUUCUAGGUUUUUAAAAGGUUUAUCAAACUGUAUACAACAUACUAAACUUUACAAAUUUUGCUCAUGGUUAGUUGACAACACAGUCUUCCGUCUCAGGUCAGCCCUCCUUCCCAAACCUUAUUCCAAAGCAAGAAAAACAAAGUAAAACACAGCAGACAGCCAAUACCUGUUAAAAGGCUGCAGAAGCCAAACGUUUUUCUAUUGUGUCUGUAUCACAUGAUAUCCACCUUCCUCUGCGUAAUUCUUGGAAUAAUAUCAUUCACAAUUUAAGAUCUUACAUUUCAGAUUUUUAAGCUCUGAGUUAGAAAGUCCUAAUAGUGAAUUUAUAAAGAAAUGUUGACAGAGCUUGGAGUCUCAUAGUGUUGGUGGAUACCGUGAUUAUAAUAAUGGUUUCCUUUAAAACUCUUCCAUUACAUGUUCCAAACAGUGGAAUUUGUAGUUUUUCCUUUGGUCCAGAGAUCAAAAACAUGAACAAUUUUAUAUUUCUAAGGUUGGACAGCAUCUGUGUUUCCACAGUUUCUGUGGGAAAGCAAUCCACCCUUUUCUUAGUUUUAUUAAAAACCUCCAUCGUGGCUCCAGUAUGUGCCAUUACAAGCACUUUCAUUAUGUCUCAUAUCUCCUUUUAGGAAGUAGGAGUCUGCCUAUUGCUUUUUUUUUUUUUCCUUUUCUUUUUUCUUACGGGCUUUCAAAAACUACAUACUGUAAGUGAAAAGUGGUUUAAAAAAUUAAAGAUAGGAGUUCCCAUCGUGGUUCAGUGGUUAACGAAUCCGACUAGGAACCAUGAGGUUGCGGGUUCGAUCCCUGGCCUUGAGCUGUGGUGUAGGUUGCAGAUGCGGCUCAGAUCCCGCGUUGCUGUGGCUGUGGUGUAGGCCGGUGGCUACAGCUCCGAUUAGACCCCUUGCCUGGGAACCUCCAUAUGCAGCGGAAACGGCCCUAGAAAAGGCAGAGACAAAAAAAAAAAAAAAAAAAAAAAAA